CAGCAGCCGCGGUAAUACGUAGGUGGCAAGCGUUGUCCGGAAUUAUUGGGCGUGAAGGGCUCGCAGGCGGUUUCUUAAGUCUGAUGUGAAAGCCCCCGGCUCAACCGGGGAGGGUCAUUGGAAACUGGGAAACUUGAGUGCAGAAGAGGAGAGUGGAGUUCCACGUGUAGCGGUGAAAUGCGUAGAGAUGUGGAGGAACGCCAGUGGCGAAGGCGACUCUCUGGUCUGUAACUGACGCUGAGGAGCGAAAGCGUGGGGAGCGAACAGGAUUAGAUACCCGAGUAGUCCCUGUCUCUUAUAC
rnacentral:rRNA from 1 species